rnacentral:rRNA from 1 species
UACGUAGGGAGCAAGCGUUGUCCGGAAUCAUUGGGCGUAAAGCGCGCGUAGGUGGCUUCGUAAGUCCGUUGUGAAAGUCAAAGGCUCAACCUUUGAAAGCCGAUGGAUACUGCGGAGCUAGAGUACGGAAGAGGCGAGUGGAAUUCCUGGUGUAGCGGUGGAAUGCGCAGAUAUCAGGAGGAACACCAAUGGCGAAGGCAGCACUCUGGGACGGUACUGACGGCUCAUGCACGAAAGCGUGGGGAGCAAACAGG